rnacentral:rRNA from 1 species
AGGCAAACGGGUGGGCCCUCGAAAUCCUCUUGCGGAGAGAUUCAGUCGGGAGCCGCGGAGGCGGAAGCGAGUAACGGACCCUCGAGAAGGACGGACCUCGCUCCGCGGUCUCUGCGGAGCCCGACGCACUUCUCCCCGCACUCUGGACGCCGCAAUGGAUCGGGUAGCUGCGAGAGUCGGCCUUGGGGCCGUCCCAGGCAGGUGGCCGGUACGUCGGCCUCGUGCUGGCGAACCGGUUAUUCACGGGGCGGUUACGUGGCGCGACACCCGAUCGACGUCGAAGUUCCCCCUACGGGGAACAAUCCGUCUCCGUCCUCUAGGGCGCGGCGGCCGGGACAGUGAGCGCCGAAGACGCCGAACCACUCCUCGUAGUGGCCGGCGCUGCGGUGGCCGUCGUUGGUUCCGGUCUGGCCGCUGCGGGACGACGCGGAUUGCGGCGAGUAGGUCGGUCACCCACCCGACCCGUCUUGAAACACGGACCAAGGAGUCUAACAUGUGCGCGAGUCGCAGGGUCUUGAACAGGCCCUCGGGCGCAAUGAAAGUGACGGUCUCACGACCGAGUUGGGACUCCCGGCGGAGACGUCGGGAAGCACCAACGACCCGUCCCUUCCGGUCCGCCGG